rnacentral:rRNA from 1 species
GCCAGACUCCUACGGGAGGCAGCAGUGGGGAAUAUUGCACAAUGGGGGAAACCCUGAUGCAGCGACGCCGCGUGAGCGAAGAAGUACCUCGGUAUGUAAAGCUCUCUCAGCAGGGAAGAAGAUGACGGUACCUGACCAAGAAGCUCCGGCUAAAUACGUGCCAGCAGCCGCGGUAAUACGUAGGGGGCAAGCGUUAUCCGGAAUUACUGGGUGUAAAGGGAGCGCAGACGGCAGUGCAAGUCUGGAGUGAAAGCCCGUGGCUUAACUACGGGACUGCUCUGGAAACUGUGCAGCUAGAGUGCAGGAGAGGCAGGCGGAAUUCCUAGUGUAGCGGUGAAAUGCGUAGAUAUUAGGAGGAACACCGGUGGCGAAGGCGGCCUGCUGGACUGUAACUGACGUUGAGGCUCGAAAGCGUGGGGAGCAAACAGGAUUAGAUACCCCGGUACC